rnacentral:lncRNA from 1 species
CUAGACCAAGAAGUGAGUUUUGUCUCAAACCAACUCAUUUAGUGACUUCUUGUGCACGAUCCAGAAAAGCAAGUUACUGGCUUUAGCUGAUGUCUCGCUCAAGUUACAGAAGAUCUAUUUGUGAUCACCUAUUCUCUUACCAUUUGAAUGUCUACAAUAAUCUUCAUAAGCAACUAUUGCGAGACUUGACAAGCACAGGGUUUGAAGUGA